CACCUGGCAGCAGGCGAUCCGGUGAGUGUGUUGUGGACCAUCUGGGAGGGAGGAUUACGCAGCCAUCAUCAAAGUCCCAACAGGCAGCUGAGGAAGCAGUGGAGGGCGGCCUGAUACUCGCCCUGCUGCUGGAGCUGCUGUCCCAGCUCAAACAGGCCCUCCCUCCCCCUGUUCAGCAUCCCAGUCCCAGCCAGAGCCAGCGCUGCCUCCCAUCAGAGCUCCACCGGCCGACGUUCCUCUCUUCGCCCCCCUCCACUGAAGCACCACAGGCCAGUCAAGCUGAACAGAAGUACAGCAGCCGA
ensembl:lncRNA